ACAAUGAUGUGCUUUGAGAAAAAUGUAUGGUGUAUCUCUGUGGUGCAGAUUUUCUGGAUACUUUUGUUGAGUGCUUUGAUUUGAAUUUCAAAUUUUGAAAUUCCCCUCACCCUUACCCUUUCUCUCUUUUUCAUUUCAGUCUUAAAUUUGAAAAUUUCCCCUACCCGUACCUUUUCCUUUCCAAAUCAAAUCCAUUCUUCACUUUUAACUCCCUGCUUUUCAAUUGCGUUUUUAAUUCUAUUUCUCCACAUCCCUUCCCCCCUCCUCCUCAAUUUCCCAGGGGAAUCAUUACUCUUUCUUCUUCGCUUAUAAACCAACUCUGGGGCCUUCAGUUUGCUGCCUCUGAUGCCGAUAACUCUCAUAUACGGCAGGGAGUGCUUCUGGAGUGAAGCCUACAGACAUAAAACGCUUCUAAGGCAGGCAUGAGAAGCACAAAUUUCAGCUGAAGAAAAUGAGUUGAGGUUAUGUCGUGCUAAAAGUACUGGAGAGAUUUAUGCCAUGAAGAAAUCAAAGAAAUCAGAGAUGCUUAGCCGAGGAUUGGUAAUAUAUAGCAAUCAAGCUUCGUACAUACUCUGCAUAAAUGUUACUUCAAUGCAACAAUCUUCUUAUUACCCGUCACGAGAAAAAGCAAAACCUUGUAUUCAUUAGCCUCUAACUUUAGUUAGUGUUCAUUCAUUUUAAUCUGAUGAGUUAUUUCAAAUUGCAACCAGAGAUAUAAACUUCAUUUUAUACUUGUCUUUGGUGAUCUUCCCGAUUGCAGUUCGUUGUGCUUCAAAAUAACAUUUGAUAUUAACAAAAUUAAGCGUUGAAUGCCAAUUCUUUCAAAUAUUCCAAUGAAAAAAA